GCAGUCGCCGCGGUAAUACGAAGGGGGCUAGCGUUGUUCGGAUUUACUGGGCGUAAAGCGCACGUAGGCGGACUUUUAAGUCAGGGGUGAAAUCCCGGGGCUCAACCCCGGAACUGCCUUUGAUACUGGAAGUCUUGAGUAUGGUAGAGGUGAGUGGAAUUCCGAGUGUAGAGGUGAAAUUCGUAGAUAUUCGGAGGAACACCAGUGGCGAAGGCGGCUCACUGGACCAUUACUGACGCUGAGGUGCGAAAGCGUGGGGAGCAAACAGGAUUAGAUACCCCGGUAGUCCCGUCUCUUAUACA
rnacentral:rRNA from 1 species